CAGUGUUCUGCCUUCUCAUGACUCUGACAAAUCUCUAUCGCUUCCUGCUUAAGUGCCACAACUGUGAAAAGCAAUGUGUUUCUGUGUCACCCCAUGGAUGUACAUUUGAAACAAGCUCUAUCUUGGAGCUGCCACAACCUGAGACCACAGCUGGUCAGGCUGAAGGAGGGAGGCAGCGCCACAGUCAAGAUGUUUUGGGAGUGUGGUGACUCAGGGUAAAGGCUGACAUUUGAAAAAUAUUCCCAUCAUGCUAAUGACAUCAAGGAGAAAUAUCAGCCAGUUACCCUGUGUCAGCUUGGAGGAUGUCCCAGGUCAAAAAAGAAGAGGAAUAGUGGCCUAGAUUGGACAAAUCAGCUUUGGGCAACUCAAAAUACAGGAACACCAGAAUUCUGAAAGAAAUUUCUCUGCAGGCACCAAGCCUUUUUCCACAGACCUUCCCUUCAGCUGCGAAUUCUUAUUGAAUCAUGGUACAUGUGAAGUGAUAAGAGAGAACAGAAGGAAUUGGAUGCUGCUGUGCUUUCCCAGCAUGUCUCUUUUUCCAAAGACAUAACACAUGGAAGGGACAGUGGAUCGAGGCAAUUGCACAAAGAGAGGACUUCAAGGUUUGCCCACUGUUCACAUCACGUGAGCCAUGACUAGACUGGUCAAGCACAAACAUGUACACUUUGAAAAGGAAGAAAAGACCAGCAAGCCUUUGAAAUGGAAUGAAUUAGUACUGACCUCUGCUUUCAAACUGAGAGUGCCUCUGGCUGGCAGGAUGGCACACUGGUUGCCAAACCUGCCACUGUCUUUUGCUCUCGAUGUUGGUUUUACGAGUUUCUUUCUCAAGUCUUACAGUUUUGGCAAUUCUGACCAAUAGAAACAAAAAUUUCUAUAUCUGGACAUUUUGGGUGGGGAGGGGUCAAGGACCUGACCAUGGAUCUUGGAUAAGUCUUUUUGGAAGGGAAUGACUGAGCAAGGGAGAAAUUAAGGACUAUUUUUCCUAUCAUUCUUACUCAAGUCGCUGUAAAUCUCUGCCUUGGAAACCACGUGGGAACUGGGAUAUGUGUGUGGGGUUGAUUUCUCAGUUAUGGACAACCUUAUCAGUGUGUUAACCACAAGGCUAUCAAAAGCAUAAUUUGCUUCUGCAUAUGCCAGUGUAAGCUAAUCAGAGAAGGAUGGCAAGUAUAAUCAGGGCUUUAAAAUAGCAUGGCUAUAAAAAGAGAUAGAAUUGACAAGUAGCUUCUAGUUUGGAAUAGAGAUGACUAUUGUAGAUAUAUAAAAAUAUAAAUGGCAUAAAAAGAACAAGAAGUGAUUGGGAUUUGAGUGAAAACAUACUCAGGAAUGAAAGAAGACUUCCCUCUCCACUGCUUUAAAGCAUAAAGGAACAGCAGAAACCUCUUGCUCUGAAAAGUCUCCAAACUGAAGUGGGAGGACACACCAGGGGAAGGAUAACUUGUUAUUUGUCAUGAUUUUAUAUUCCUGUUGUGCCUACUUACUGGCCUUUCACAGGCAUGGUGCCAGGCUGGGUAGCCCUCUUGGUAUGGCCCUGGCUAUGAUUUAAGAGGCAGUACCUUUUUAUAGCAUUCUUGCAAGUACAAGUAAUGUUAGAUAUAACUAGGCCAAUCUUUCCCAUAUUCUUUCAUGUACUGUUGGGAUUUCAAACACAGAUGCACACCCACACACAGACACACACACAGAUGCACACACUUUUAGAGCGUAUUGUGUAAUACUCCUGCCUCAUACACUUCAUAGGUAUCACACUGUACAGCUGCCACAAUAUUCAUGUUUCUGCUCAAACUGAUGCCUUAGGUUGUAACUUUUAUAUUUUUCAAAUCCUGUACUGCCUAGUGUGUAACUCUGAAGUUUCUUGUAGCCUGUUAACUUCUG